GCCGUCUUAGCUCAAUGGCAGAGCAAUUGUUUUGUAAACAAUAGGUUCGCGGUUCGAAUCCGCGAGACGGCU
rnacentral:tRNA from 1 species